rnacentral:rRNA from 1 species
AAACGACUGCUAAUACCGCAUAACGUCUACGGACCAAAGGGGGCUUCGGCUCUCGCCCUUAUAUUAGCCCAAGUGGGAUUAGCUAGUUGGUGAGGUAAUGGCUCACCAAGGCGACGAUCCCUAGCUGGUUUGAGAGGAUGAUCAGCCACACUGGAACUGAGACACGGUCCAGACUCCUACGGGAGGCAGCAGUGGGGAAUAUUGCACAAUGGGCGCAAGCCUGAUGCAGCCAUGCCGCGUGUGUGAAGAAGGCCUUAGGGUUGUAAAGCACUUUCAGUAAGGAGGAAAGGUUAUUAGUUAAUACCUGCUAGCUGUGACGUUACUUACAGAAGAAGCACCGGCUAACUCCGUGCCAGCAGCCGCGGUAAUACGGAGGGUGCGAGCGUUAAUCGGAAUUACUGGGCGUUAAGCGUACGCAGGCGGUUUGUUAAGCGAUAUGUGAAAACCCCGGGCUCAACCUGGGGAACCUGCUUUUUCGAAACUGGCAAA